AUGGGGAUGACCUGGUUGAAUUGGAAAGCAAAGGAGGGCUCCGGUUUUUCCAGGUGUACAUACGCUACGACUUGCAUCACGGCUCUCAACUAUGCGCUAAGUUUUCUUCUGCCGAUGGAGGAUGCCCUCAUGAUGGUAGAGAAGAAGAUGGUGAUGAACCAGAGGAAUUCUCUUGCACUUGCAACCUUGACUACUUGCCUCCUUUGGUAUUGA
rnacentral:rRNA from 1 species